rnacentral:rRNA from 1 species
UAACCUGCUAAAUAGCCCGGCUCGCUUUGGCGGGUCGCCGGCUUCUUAGAGGGACUAUCGGCUCAAGCCGAUGGAAGUUUGAGGCAAUAACAGGUCUGUGAUGCCCUUAGAUGUUCUGGGCUGCACGCGCGCUACACUGACAGAGCCAACGAGUUUUUUUCCUUGGCCGGAAGGUCUGGGUAAUCUUGUUAAACUCUGUCGUGCUGGGGAUAGAGCAUUGCAAUUAUUGCUCUUCAACGAGGAAUGCCUAGUAAGCGCAUGUCAUCAGCAUGCGUUGAUUACGUCCCUGCCCUUUGUACACACCGCCCGUCGCU